ACAGAACCUCCGGCUGCUAGAGUGGCAGCCAUCAGCAUUCCAAACCAGCCCAAGGAACCUGACAGCCUGCUAGGGGAAGCCCUCAGCAGAGACCUCUGGGGAGGUGACCACCGGGACCCAAGGUGGGGGGCCCAUUAACUGUUUGUCUGCUCAGCCUUGCUGGAGAUUCUGGGUGGCAGGGAUGUCCUGAUGGGACCCUCUGGAGUCCAGCCAUCCCAGGCUGUCUGCUUUCCAGGGGUUGUAUCUUCCUUCUUACCUGUUCAUCAACCAGCCCUCUCAUUGCUGCUGCAAGUCUGGCUCUUUGCCUCUGCUGUGCCAGGCCUCCAUGGUGUCUGCAUAGAGCCACGACAGAGGCAUUCCUCAGCUGUACCUCUGACUUUCUUGGCUCAGGUUCAGUCAGUUGCUCUUCCUCCUUGGCAAAGCCAUCUAGGUUCCAGGUGGGUGUCAUGCAUACCACAUGUGCACAGAGCCAGCUGCAGAGGGCACCACAAGGGCACCUUAACCAGCUCCUGAUCUCAAGAACACUAAAAGGCUAGCCGUUGUCUGUCUAGAGUGAAUACUUCACAGAUCUCAUUUAGGGAGAGCCUGGUCUAUGGACUAAGCUGAAUUUUCCCACAUAGAUUCUAAAAUUAAAUGUAUUAGUUGCUAAGUAAAGGCCAUUGGCUUCUGUGGAAGGGUGCUCAGAGGGGACAACACUCUGGCAUGGUUGCCCAGAUUGUCACUAGUACAUUGGGACUAGGCAGCUGGUGUCCCCCUCUUCGACACACACCUCACAAGAACUGAGCAUAUGUAGUACAGCUGGGGACAGAGUGCCACAGGGCCUCUGGGGAGAGGACUACACAUGUGUCAGUCUCCUGGGCUGUGUACAAAGUGUCACAGACUUUGGGCAGCUUAGAUCAAGGGUCCCAAAUCUAGGGUCUGCCAGGCUUGGUUCUGAAGGGGACAUUUGACUAUGGGGGGCUGUUUUCAUGCUCACAUGCCAUCUCCUGGGAGUCUUUUCUCUAAGUGCCCUCAUACCAGGACCCAGGCUGUUUUAAAUGGCAUCCAUUCUCAUUUGAACUUAAUCUAAAGACUAGAGAACAUCACAUUCUGAAGUGCUGGGGGUAGGGGACACUUUCCCCUAGUGUCCAGUGUCAGCCUUUUCACAUCAUGACAGUGUUGUCAUCCAGAAAGUUUACAUUCAAGAACCAGACAGUUAAGAUUUUUAAAAAGUCAGAAAAAAACAUGUUUUCAGUAUUUUACAAGUUUGUGUUGGGUUGCGUAUAUCACAUUCCUCAGCUACAUGCAGGUUAGUGGGCUGCAGGUUGGCUGUGCCUGUUAGAAUUGAACAUAAACGGGGAGGAGGGCACCAUCUAGCUCAUGACACACCUAAGACCUAGGCCAGUCUGGGCUGACUAGAUGUCACUCCAUCUGCUUCUGCCCUGGGGCUUGGCACUCUACCACAGCUGGCCACCCUAGAUUUACUCACUUCAGGUCCCUCAGGGUUGUCCUGAAUUCCUUUUGAACCUAAGGCCUUUCACGAGCUGUGUCUAUACCCAUAGGAGCUGGGAAGGCCAGGGCCUGGGGCUGCCUGCUAAAGCUAAGGGUGACAUGGCCUUGUCCUUGACAAGCACAAGCAGUUUCUUGUGGCUACUUUGCCCUGUGACACACUAAAGUAGUGAUCCCUGGAGAUAUCCAGGGCUGGGUACCCCUCAGGGAACCAUGCCUAGAGCUUGGUGAGUAUGGCUUAAACAGACACAGUCAAAACAGAGAAUAGAUUUUAGAACAGUGAUUCUCAACCUAUGGGUCUUGAAGGAUCCACCCUGCGAGGCUCACAUAUCAGAUAUUUCACAUUUCGUUUGGUAACGGUGGCAAAACUGUUGUUAUAAAGUAGCAAUGAAAUAGUUUUAUAGUUGAUGGUCACCUGGUUGCAACAUUAAGAUAGAGAACUGUUUUAGGGACUAAAGACUCCCCAAGAAGUCUGCCUCGACUAGUGUAAGCUGUGCACAGGACAUUGACGUGAGCAAGUCUAGCUCAGUGCCUUCACGUGGAGUAGAAAUCAAGUGGCUGCAGCUUCCACUUGAAAGGAACGGGCAGCUGCAUCUCCAGGCGAGUGGGGCAAUGCUGGUGCUUCAGUGCAGUGGGCAGGGAUAAGGCCCAGGUCCCGGGUAGAGAAGAAACAUUCAACGUCAUAAUCCUACUUGGAAGACUUGGGUAGUCUUAAAUUGGGGACUGGUAUAGGUAUCCCUGGCCAGGACAGGAACUUCGUCCUUUCUCUCCUAAACAUGAGACCAUGUUAUCAAUCAAUGAAAGGGAUGGCAUGUCUGUCUGCCUUGCUGACAGCCAGCACAAGUGACCAAACAGCAUUGUAGGAGAGUUGCCAGGGCCUGUCAUCUCCUGGGUGGUAAGUGCUUCCCUAGGCUGUGCCUGCUUAGAACAAAUAAAGGCAGUUGGGACCAAGCUCACCGUAAGUGGUUCAGAUCCAACUGGACAGUCCUAACAGGUUUAGAGAAAUGUUUAGACUGGAGCAUGGGCCACUGAGUGAACCCUAUGGAUUUCGUCAGCUAUAUCACCACUACACCACUGGAAGGUCUCUAAGGACCUGAUGCUGUCACAGCUGUUAAUCAGCCUUCUGGACUCACUGGGUCCUGUUCCUGGCAGGACAGUUCUGGGACAACUUGUUCAGAGGUAAGGACCAGAAGUCUAUCCUCUACUGAUCUGGCAAGUGGCCAUAGGCCACACCUGAGUGGGGACUUCUUCCUCAUAUCACCCACAGGGUUAAGAGGGUGAGUCCUGCUCACUCUGCAGACUGAUGGAAGGCUGAAGGAGGUAGGUGGCCCCAGGGACCAUCAGUGGCCUCCGGCAGUAUCCUGCAAGUCACUGUUCACCACUGGGGCAUCUCCCACUGGGGCAGACUUCAUCCUACAUGUGGCCCCUGUAAAGUUCUGUGAUUGCAAGGCUUUCCCAUCCUAAUCCAUCUUGCCAGUUUCUGGUCCUGGAGGCCUGAGCCCAUUUACAUGGUGUUGGUUACUGAUUCAUUCACAGUUGAACAUAUCUUCAUACUCUGCUUUGUCCCACUUUCAGAGUUUGGGGUUAGCUGAUUGGGUUUGGUUUUAGUUUUCCUUCCUUCCUGUCUUGUUUUGAAUUGACUGUGGUGGGUUUUGUUGUUGUUUUAUUGUUUUGUUUUAAUUUUUUUCAUAUUCAUUCCACUUCUCCCAAAGAACUAGAAGAGGAAACAUCUGAAUUCAUAAUUCUAUUUGUAAGAUUUCAGUAUUUUCUCAAAUUGAUAAAACAAAUUAGGGUGGAAGUUGAAAUUUUGAGCAAGCUGAUUAACAAAAUUCUCUUGAUUCCUGAAUGUAAACACACUGCACCAUAAGACUGCUGUUUCCACGAAUACACAGAACACUUGGAAAUUAACCUAGUUGACUAAGCCCUAGAGCAAAUAUAAACAAAUUUAAAAGUAUUGAAAUUACAUAGAAUGUAUAUUUUGGCCACACUUUACCUUCUAGGCUAGAGUUAAAUAGCAAAUCCCAGGCAUUUUUAUAUACUCAAAAAAAAUAAAUAAAUAAUGGUUAUACUAUCAAAGCUAACACAAGGAUCUAGCCUGUGGUAAAAUACCAAUGC
rnacentral:lncRNA from 1 species